rnacentral:rRNA from 1 species
UACGUAGGGUGCGAGCGUUAAUCGGAAUUACUGGGCGUAAAGGGUGCGCAGGCGGCCCUGUAAGACCGGUGUGAAAUCCCCGGGCUCAACCUGGGAAUUGCGCUGGUGACUGCAGGGCUAGAGUACGGUAGAGGGGGGUGGAAUUCCUGGUGUAGCAGUGAAAUGCGUAGAGAUCAGGAGGAACACCGAUGGCGAAGGCAGCCCCCUGGGCCUGUACUGACGCUCAUGCA